GGAGCUCCUCAGGCUCACAGAAAAUUCACAGCAAAACUAAAGUGAACCCCGUAAAGCUUGUUCUGGGUUUUCUUCUGCAGAAAAGAUUAAAGGAAAAUUGUUUUAGCAGAAAGAAAGCUCCAUCCUCAGGAAAGACAAGCAAGGGAGCUGCAGCUAAGGGAAGGGCAAUGAAGAAGGUGGCAGCCAGACUGAAGGGAAGAGGGGCUGCAAGACGUGGAGUUGGUGGUGGUGACCCUGGAGAGGAAAGGAACAUGGCCAAGAGGUUGGGAUUCGUGCUGGAUCAAGAAGGAAGAACCCAGAAGCAGCCCAGAGGCUUCACACCUACAUAAGAAAAAAAAGGGGGGCCAGGCACGAUGCCUCAUGCCUGUAAUCCAGCACUUUGGGAGGCUGAGGUGGGUGGAUCACGAGGUCAGGAGUUCAAGAGCAGCCUGACCAACACAGUGAAACCCUGUCUUCACUGAGAAUACAAAAAUCAGCCAGGCUUGGUGGCGCACGCCUAUAAUCCCAGCUACUCAGGAGGCUGAGGCAGGAGAAUCCAGGAGGUGGAAUUGCAGUGGGCAGAGAUCACGCCACUGUAUUCUGGGUGACAGAGUAAGACUCCAUCUCAGAAAAAAAAAAAAAAAAAAAAAAAA
rnacentral:lncRNA from 1 species